CUUACUUUUGGGAAACCAGUGAAAUCAGUUCCUGCCUGGAACUGCUGCUGGCUACACCAGCGCUCAGCACACACAGGACAGACUCUCCAUGGCUGCGUGUUUCAGAAGACUCUCACAAAAGGCAGGAGAACUGUUUCAUUUUUGGUUGUUUGUUGUUGGGUUUUGAUUUUUUUUUUAAUAGGCAUAAAAAUUUAUUUUCUUUCACAAAUUCAGUUCACUAGAUUUAAGUAAAGCUCUGCUUAUGAGAAAUGAAGUCCGAAGCAAAGAAAUCCAAUGCAAGUGCUGAGAGAGAGUUCACUUUUAAUUCACCUCUUAGGCCAGUUGCAGCAACAUUGCAGAUGGGUUCUGCCAAGGAAAGGCAUUAAGCUCACUCUGUAUCCAUAUCUCAGAAGCAUGUGCAUGUGCCUUUCCAGCACUGCAGAAGGGGUGGCCCCUUGCCGUGCCCAGCGUGAGCAGUGGUCACAAGUCUCCGGUCAUACCCUCCAUCUCACUGCAGAUUUCCUGUGUGGUCACGGGAAAGUCAUUUUGAACUCGUGCUAUCUCCUUUGCUUUGACCAGAAGUGCUGCUAAUCCUUUUCCUUCUUGUGGAGUUGACUGUGCAUGAACACCGACUGUGUGGCAGGCCAGUGGCUGCCAGAGCAUGUCUGUCCCAGGACUAUGGGGGUGGCUGUGUCUGUCCCCGUGAGGUGCUGCACCUCAGCAGAUGGUGAUACCAGUGCUCCCCAGUGUCACAGACUGCAGUGGGCAACAUUUGAAAGGUUUGAGAAAAGCUUACUUGUUUAGUCACAGAGGCUUUGUUUCCUUCUCUAACCAGUAUUUGAAGGGUGAUGGAGUAGCAAUUGAGUUAAUUAGGGGACAGAAAUUAGAUAAUGUAUUACAAAAGCAGGGAUAUUCAGACAUGAGCACAAUGGAAACAGCACUUUUUACAGUACAAUUAUACAGCUAGAAGAAGCAUUUAGCGCUGGUUUAUCAUGGGAAAAAUGAGGCAUGGCAGGAUCCAGUGGCUUCCUCGAGGUCAGACAGGAAUUUUUUUUUUUUUAUUGGCACUAACAUAUGGAAUGAUCCGGCCAACAAAUGACUGAAGUCCUGUGUUCCAGAGAGCCCUGGAGGGUGGUGUCUGAGUGGGAUGUGGCCCCGGCCUCCCUGCUCAGGCCCCCUCUGCGAACAGGGACUCUCACCCGGCGGGCCGAGGCCGGGGCAGCGGCGGGGCCGGGUCCGAGCCGCGGCGGGCUCGUGUGGCGCGGCAGAGGCGGCGCGGACAGCGGGGGCUGCGCGCACGCUGCUCGCCGUCCCGUGCCCGUGGCAGGAGGCGGCACAGUCGAGUGACAAGGCUGUGUUCUGAUACAGCAUCUGCUCUAUGAAAUUCACCCUGAAAGAAUGGACACUCAGAUGUCUUCACUUCCAGCAGAGAAGACACAACUGUCAGGCUGAAUUAGGCCAAUUGGAGAGGUUUACCAAAAUCUCCAUGGGUUACAGACACGAGACUUUUCUCUCACACUGGUCUGGACUGAGGACUUGGUGGGCAGUAACAUGCGAACUCUGACCACAUCACCGGUGUGAAAUUGCUGAUUAACCUUUUGACUCUGACAAUUGGGACUUCUCUCAACACCAACUGUUCCUCUUAGAGCACUGUGCAAAGAGACAGAGAGAAAUUCUCCACUCGAAGUGUAAGCAUAUCUGCUGUGAAUGCUGAGGGGAGUUAAGUGUCUGCUUCUACAGGAGAAUACACCCCAGUGUUCCUGAAGGGCACCCUGUUAAAAUGGUGCAAGAAUGUUUAACUCAGGAACAUGUGAUGCGUUCAAGGGCCAACUUCCACCGAAUUUUUUAAAGUGAUUAAGAUGUUGGAACUCAAUUUAUCCAGAAGCUGGGGAAGACCUGAACUGGCUCCAGCCGUUUGGAAAGGGAGAAUAAGCAGCACAACUGUCCUCUAACAAAAAUGGUACAUUCAAGGAGAAGCUUCAGGAAUCAGGCAGGUCUCAUGUUCAUUUCUUCUAGUAUUAAUGAACUUCACAGCUUUGCUUCAUUUGCUGAUUUGCUUUAAGUAGAGAGAUGUUAAAUGUGAGCCUUUAAUUUUAGGUUCCUCCAUAUUUCCUGUGUUUCCCAAACUUAAAUCUUGGUUAAUGACUUCUCCAUAUAGGGUUUCUCUUAAAUUUCUGUCAGGGCCUGUAGAUGUGCAUAACUAGUAAAAAAUAUGUUAUCUGCAUUUAGUGUUGGCUUUUGGAACUCUCACCGCUGAGUCACCUCUCUACUGCAUCUCACCUCGCAUGCAUUUCUGUGUAGUGCCAGGGGAAGAAUGGAAAAUAGCCAUGAAGUAAAAGCAGAUUCUGCUCCCAUUAAAGGCAAUGAAAACUGUGCUUUUACUUCUACUUACUCAUAAUAGCGGAGAAAAAUGAAGUGGAAACAAGCACAACAAAACACCUCUGCCAGCUAUCUACAAGCUAACCAAGGCUUCCACUAAUGAGGUGCUCUGGCAUUUUAAGAAAGACAGGUUCUUCCAGAAAUGGAAAAAAUACGCUGAGUUUUUCCUUCAGUUCUGAAAGGCUAGUGAAAGAAUAACAAAUUGUAUUUCAAAAAAGGGAUGACAAUCAAACUUUUAAUGCUGUCUGUGCUAUUAAAUACCUAAAGAUGUCCAUAUAGUUUCUUGUCAAUUAAAUGCUUUUACAUAUAUAUUUGGCAGCUCAUUAAAUAUUGAUACAUACCUCACCUAAUUAUUGACUGUAUUUUCAGGGUCACUUAAAUGACCAUAAAAUUUUUGAGAAAGUUAAUAAUAUCAAAUUACAGUAAUGGAGUCAUUUUUCAGGUUGAAUUUUCUAGAAGACUCUAUACCAUGGACAAUCACAUAGUCUAUUAAACAGAACCAUACACUUUGUGGAAAAGAUAAUAGUCCAGAUCAUGAGAUAGCACCAGAUUUCACAUUAUGAAUUCCAGAUGUCUUUGUGAGCUUAAUGCAUACAGCAUUGGUUUAAGUCUAAUCUGCAUGGCAGAAAUGCAAGUUGUUCCAAUUUUCUCUUUGCUGGGGCUGUGCGGAGAAACAGGAGGGCAUUGUUCUGCUGCUUUGGAGAGAGGAGUUUACCUGAAGGACAGGGAAAAGUUGCACCUAGCAGUGUCCCAUCCUCAUCUGGCUGCAGAAAGCUGGCAAAUCCACCUUUAUCUUCCCAUCUCAGCAGCCCUUUUCCUGCACACUUGUCUCCACACAGUGUCUCAGUCACCCCAAGAUAUUGGACAGAACUGGCGUUGCUGUCCUGCCCCUGGCCCUAACCACUAGAAGCACCAACAUUCUCUUUUGUUUAGAAUGCUGGAGAGAUCUGAGUUACAGCAGCCUGUCACAGCUGUCAGGCUUCUGUGACAACCUGGUUGUACUAUUCUGAGCAGUGUGUGUUGAUUCACUGAAGAGAGAGGGUGGGAUUUGCCAAACUGAACAUCAUCCAUACUCGCUCAGAAGCUCCUGGAGUGAGCGUCUGUGCAAUCAGAAGGCAGCUUCACAGCUGUUUGCAGGCUGCAGCUUUGGAAGCAAAGUUCCCCGAACAUCCACAGUAAAACAAUGCGUUGCACCAGCUUCCUGAACCGAGGACUAGGUGAAGUCACAUCACAUCCGUGGCAGCCUGGGGGAUUUACAGCACUUUGCAGGGCAGCCCAGUAUCCUCCUGUGCCCAGCAGGGCCACAGAUGUCCAGAAGUUUCUGGUGGGUCACACGUCAUUAUACACAUGAAAUAGUAUUUCCUCUGCUACCUUCCUGCUGGAGAGCAUUUUACUGGUACAGGUAGGCGGGCUAGAUAACAGUGCAAGGAUCUGGCAGGACAUUUGCUUUUCAAUUCCAGCACUGUUGGGCUGGGAAGUGAAAGAGAGCUCUGCAAACAGAACAGGUGUCUGACAUGACAGUGCAAUGGGAGAAAAAGCUCAAGGCUAUUUUUUCUCCAUGGAAAUCUACAAAAAAUUGUCAGUUUGGGGCUUUAUGAAUUUCUCUCUGGAGUCAAACAUUCAAUGCAAAUUUACAAAGGAGUGUGAGGAAGGAGUAUUUUGGCUCCUUCAGUCCUGUGUACAAAACCUCCCAGGGUUUCAGUGAGGAUUUUAGCAUCUCUUGCAGUCUUCAA